AUGGAGGCGGUGAUAGCGGCGGCGGAAGAGAGCGUGCGUGCCAAUGGGGCUACGAAGACGUUGGUCGUGGCCGAGGACGGGCGAUAUCACCAGGGCGACAACAAUUACGGCGGCGGCAACAACCAUGGCGGCCUGCAGGCCUCCCCUCUUCGAGCGCUACCACGCAGAGGCAACACAGCUCGGGAAGAAGUCCCAGGCGAUGGACAUCAGUCGUGCCGCUGUAGAUCCAAUCGACCGGCGAUGGAGCAGUUAUUGGCGUUCCUCCGCGCGGCACCAGAUUUUGAAUUCAGUGUGGUAGAGAACACCCACAAAAUCAUCACAAGGAUUCAUGAACCUACUUUCGAAUGGAAGAAAUGUGAUGUUCAAUUGCCAUUAACCCGAUCGGUCUCUUGCAUGGUAAAUCUCCAAUGGUCUGAAUCUGGUUCCUCUGCGGACUAUUAUGAUGUUUACAGAGUCGGAUUUUGUGCAGGGGAAGGGGAGACCGAGGAGGAAAUGGCGACCAAGAGGUGUGCAGGCACCCUGGGUGACAAGGGCCUCAGGGGGGAGAAGGUGUUCCUUAGUGCCGAUCUGAACGUUCUGCUGGACGACGGCCUGAACAUCACUGGUGACAACCGCAUCCGCGCCUCCAUGCCGUCCAUCAAGUUCCUCAUGGGGAAGGGCGCCAAGGUUGUCCUGGCCAACCAUCUGGCCGCCGAGUCCAACUCCUCUGCGGUGCAGAUCACCCGCCCACCGCGCUGCGCAAUUCACGAUGCAGGCGGCCCUCCUCCACGGGAAAAGUGUGAACUAUGA
rnacentral:rRNA from 1 species